rnacentral:rRNA from 1 species
UACGUAGGGGGCAAGCGUUGUCCGGAUUUAUUGGGCGUAAAGAGCGUGUAGGCGGCUAGGUAGGUCCGUUGUGAAAACUCGAGGCUCAACCUCGAGCUGUCGAUGGAAACCAUCUAGCUAGAGUCCGGAAGAGGAGAGUGGAAUUCCUGGUGUAGCGGUGAAAUGCGCAGAUAUCAGGAAGAACACCGGUGGCGAAGGCGGGUCUCUGGGCCGAUACUGACGCUGAGGAGCGAAAGCGUGGGGAGCGAACAGG